GUGAAUCAUCGAAUCUUUGAACGCAAAUUGCACUCUCUUCGGAGAGUAUGCCUGUUUGAGUGUCAGCCUAAAAAAAAUCGACGUAGUCGCUGUUUCUCGGUGACAUUCGUCGGAAAUUGGGUCAUCUUAAACCUUUGGGAUUUAUGCGGCUUAAAAUUUUCUUUACGAUUCCACGAACGUUUCUAAGAUUUUACUUCUUACACUCGUUUAAGGUAUCGCACUUUUUUAUUCGUGGCCGUUG
rnacentral:misc_RNA from 1 species